rnacentral:misc_RNA from 1 species
AAGUCGUAACAAGGUUUCCGUAGGUGAACCUGCGGAAGGAUCAUUUCUGAACUAAGGGAAGUAAGAGAGAGAAGGUUUCUUUUUUCUUCUUACUUUUCCUUAUCAAAGAGAGUGUGUGGUAUAAAUGAAAAGGAAAAGAAAAAAACAAAGGAAUAAGUGGCUUUUAUUUGAAAGCCAACUUUCUUUUUGUUUGCUUUUUUUCCUAAUCUUUACUUUAUGAACCAAAACAAGUUACUUUUUUGUUUUAACAAAACAACUUUUUUUUUAGUUUUUCUUUUUCGAAAGAGAACUAACAAAAAUAAAAAAAUUGACAUACAACUGUCAACGGUGGAUCUCUUGGCUCGU